rnacentral:rRNA from 1 species
AACGCGAAGAACCUUACCAGGGCUUGACAUCCCCCGACGCGUGUGGAAACAAGUGUUCUUUCUUCGGGGGGCGGGGAGACAGGUGGUGCAUGGCGGUCGUCAGCUCGUGUCGUGAGAUGUUGGGUUAAGUCCCGCAACGAGCGCAACCCCUGUCCCAAGUUGCCAACGGGUAAAGCCGGGAACUCUUGGGAGACCGCCGGUGACAAGCCGGAGGAAGGUGGGGAUGACGUCAAGUCAUCAUGCCCUUUAUGCCCUGGGCUACACACGUGCUACAAUGGUCGGUACAGAGGGAAGCCAAGGCGCGAGCGCGGAGCGAUCCCCCAAAGCCGGCCCCAGUUCGGAUCGCAGGCUGCAACCCGCCUGCGUGAAGUAGGAAUCGCUAGUAAUCACGGUCAGCAUACCGUGGUGAAUACGUUCCCGGGUCUUGUACACACCG